GACGUAGGGUGCGAGCGUUGUCCGGAUUUAUUGGGCGUAAAGGGCGCGUAGGCGGCGCGGGCAGUCAACGGUGAAAGCUCGGAGCUCAACUCCGAGUCGGCCGUCGAUACUCCCGUGCUUGAGCACUGUAGAGGCAGAUGGAAUUCCGGGUGUAGCGGUGGAAUGCGUAGAGAUCCGGAAGAACACCGGUGGCGAAGGCGGUCUGCUGGGCAGUAGCUGACGCUGAUGCGCGACAGCGUGGGGAGCAAACAGG
rnacentral:rRNA from 1 species